CCCUAGCCCGGCCGGGUGUGACGCAGCCAGUCCUCCCAGCGCCCGGGAGGCGGAGGCAGGAGGACAGCGGCGAGUUCGAGGCCAGCCUGGGCUACAUAGCAGACAGACUGCACUUGCGGUCAGCUGGGUGCGGGACACUGCUGGGUGAGGGGAAGCCGAGCGUGAAUAAACUACAAUCCCUGACCUCAGGAUGCUUACAGUCUGGAGGUGGAGAUAGCACUGAGGAUGUAACCCAGGGCCUUGAGCAUCCUAC